rnacentral:rRNA from 1 species
UACAGAGGUCUCGAGCGUUGUUCGGAUUCAUUGGGCGUAAAGGGCGCGUAGGCGGCGGGGUAAGUCUGGUGUGAAAUCUUGGAGCUCAACUCCGAAAUUGCACUGGAUACUGCUCUGCUAGAGGGCUGGAGAGGAGAUCGGAAUUCACGGUGUAGCAGUGAAAUGCGUAGAUAUCGUGAGGAAGACCAGUGGCGAAGGCGGAUCUCUGGACAGCUCCUGACGCUGAGGCGCGAAGGCUAGGGGAGCAAACGGG